rnacentral:rRNA from 1 species
UUUCUUAGUAGCGGCGAGCGAAAAGAAAACAGUUCAGCACUAAGGUGUUUUGUUAUAUUAACAAAUACACAAUGCAGUGUACGGAAUGUCUAAUUAUCUAAUAUGAUAAAUUAAUGAUUUAAGUCCUUCUUAAAUGAGGCCAUUUACCCAUAGAGGGUGCCAGGCCCGUAUAACAUUAAUGAUUAUUAGAAGAUAUUUCCAAAGAGUCGUGUUGCUUGAUAGUGCAGCACUAAGUGGGUGGUAAACUCCAUCUAAAACUAAAUAAAACCAUGAGACCGAUAGCAAACAAGUACCGUGAGGGAAAGUUGAAAAGAACUCUGAAUAGAGAGUCAAAGAGUACGUGAAACUGCUUAGAGGUUAAGCCCGAUGAGCCUGAAUAUCCAUUAUGGAAAAUUCAUCAAUAAUUAUAAAUUAUUUGAAACUUAAUUGUUUGAUAAUAAUUUUAUAAAUGUUGUGCACUUUUUCCAUAUAAGGACAUUGUAAUCUGUUAACGUAUAUAUGUCUUAUCAUAAGAUCAUUUACAUUAUGUUUUAUUUGAUAUUUAAUAUUUAUUUAUUAAAUGGAUAAUAAAUUGUUUAUGUAUCGGAUAAGCCGUUGACAGAUCAUUAAUAAAUAUAAUGCUUAAAUUUUAUUCAAAAUUUUAUAAUAAUAAUUAAUUAUAUAUAUAAUUUGAUUAUUUUAUAUGCAUUUAUAUUAUUAACAAUGCGAUAGAUUCAGGAUACCUUCGGGACCCGUCUUGAAACACGGACCAAGGAGUCUAACAUAUGUGCAAGUCAUUGGGUUUUAUAUAAAACCUAAAGGCGUAAUUAACUUAACUAUUAAAAAGAUUUUUUAUUGAAAAUUUAUUUUCUUUAAUUAAUUUUAUGGGAUCAGUUUAUAUUUUGUAUUAAUACAAAUAUAAAUUCAAUCCCGGGGCGUUCUAUAUAGUUAUGUAUAAUAAUAUUUUAUAUUAUUUAUACCUCUAACUGGAGCGUACCUUGAGCAUAUAUGCUGUGACCCGAAAGAUGGUGAACUAUACUUGAUCAGGUUGAAGUCAGGGGAAACCCUGAUGGAAGACCGAAACAGUUCUGACGUGCAAAUCGAUUGUCAGAAUUGAGUAUAGGGGCGUAAGACCAAUCGAACCAUCUAGUAGCUGGUUCCCUCCGAAGUUUCCCUCAGGAUAGCUGGUGCAUUUAAAAAUUAUAUAAAAUAAUCUUAUCUGGUAAAGCGAAUGAUUAGAGGCCUUAGGGUCGAAACGAUCUUAACCUAUUCUCAAACUUUAAAUGGGUAAGAACCUCACCUUUCUUGAUAAUGAAGGUCGAGGUUGUGAUAUAUUGUGCCCAGUGGGCCACUUUUGGUAAGCAGAACUGGCGCUGUGGGAUGAACCAAACGUAAUGUUACGGUGCCCAAAUUAACAACUCAUGCAGAUACCAUGAAAGGCGUUGCUUGCUUAAAACAGCAGGACGGUGGAUAUGGAAGUUGUAAUCCGCUAAGGAGUGUGUAACAACUCACCUGCCGAAGCAACUAGCCCUUAAAAUGGAUGGCGCUUAAGUUGUAUACCUAUACAUUACCGCUAAAGUAAAUGAUAAAUUUAUAAUUUUAUUAUUAAUUUAUUUUGAAACUUUAGUGAGUAGGAGGGUACAAUGGUGUGCGUUGAAGUGUUUGGCGUAAGCCUGCAUGGAGCCGCCAUUGGUACAGAUCUUGGUGGUAGUAGCAAAUAAUCGAAUGAGACCUUGGAGGACUGAAGUGGAGAAGGGUUUCGUGUGAACAGUGGUUGAUCACGAGUUAGUCGGUCCUAAGUUCAAGGCGAAAGCCGAAAAUUUUUAAGUUAUUUUUAAUAUAUAAAUAAUAAUAUAAAUUAUAAUAUACUUAAAAUUUUUUGAACGAAAGGGAAUACGGUUCCAAUUCCGUAACCUGUUGAGUAUACGUUUGUUAUUAAAAAUGGGCCUUGUGCUCAUCCUGGUAACAGGAACAACCAUAAAGAAGCCGUCGAGAGAUAUCGAAAGAGUUUUCUUUUCUGUUUUAUAGUUGUACUACCAUGGAAGUCUUUCGAAGAGAGAUAUGGUAGAUGAACUAGAAGAGCAUGGCAUUUACUGUUGUGUCGAUAUUUUCUCCUCGGACCUUGAAAAUUUAUGGUGGGGUCACGCAAAUUUCUCAACAGGCCGUACCGAUAUCCGCAGCUGGUCUCCAAGGUGAAGAGUCUCUAGUCGAUAGAAUAAUGUAGGUAAGGGAAGUCGGCAAAUUAGAUCCGUAACUUCGGGAUAAGGAUUGGCUCUGAAGAUUGAGAUAGUCGGGCUUGAUUGGGAAACAAUAUCAUGGUUUAUAUGCUCGUUCUGGGUAAAUAGAAAUAUUAUAAUUCUUUUCGGAGAAUUUAAUAUUUUGUUCCUCGGAUAGUUUAAGUUAUAUAGCCAAUUGUGGAAAUUUCUUGCUAAUAAUGUAAUUAAUUAUUUUCAUAUUUUAUUUGUAAUUUUCGGAUUGUGAAUUAAUAUGAAAAAAAAUUUUAUAUUAACGACUAUCAAUU